GUGCUUGCUUUAGAAGUACAUAUAUUAAAAUUGACACAAUACAGAGACUGGUCCCUGUGCAAGGAUAAUAUGCAAAUUUGUGAAGCAAUCCAUUUAAAA
ensembl:snRNA U6 U6 spliceosomal RNA